GACGAACGCUCGCGGCGUGCUUAACACAUGCAAGUCGGACGGUAAGGCCCUCUCCGGUGUACACGUGUUGCGAACGCGGGAGUAACACGUGAGUAACCUGCCCACAACUUUGGGAUAACGCUAGUAAACUGGUGCUAAUACUGGCUAUGUGCUCCUGCUGCAUGGUGGGGGUUGUAAAGCUCCGGCGGUUGUGGAUGGACUCGCGGCCUAUCAGCUUGUUGGUGGGGUAGUGGCCUACCAAGGCGGCGACGGGUAGCCGGCCUGGGAGGGUGACCGGCCACCUCGGGACUGAGGUACGGCCCAGACUCCUGCGGGGGGCAGCAGUGGGGCCUAUCGCACUAUGGGCGCAAGCCUGAUGCAGCAACGCCGGGUGCGGGAUGACGGCCUUCGGGUUGUAAGCCGGGUUAAGCAGGGACGAAGCUUUUUGUGACGGUACAUGCAGAAGAAGGACCGGCUAACUACGUG
rnacentral:rRNA from 1 species